UGGCGCACGGGUGACGUAACGCGUUAGCACUACUAUAACUGAGGGAACACCCGAGAAUCGGGGCUAAUACGCAUAACAUCAUGAAGUGGCAUCACUUUAUGAUCAAACCUCAGGGGGUUAUAGAUGGGCAUGCGUGACAUUAGCUAGUUGGUGAGGUAACGGUCACCAAGGUACGAUGUCUAGGGGUCUGAAGGAUGAUCCCCCAAUGGUACUGAACGGACCAGACUCCUACGGGAGGCAGCAGUGGCGGAAUAUUGGACAAUGGGCGCAAGCCUGAUCCAGCAAUGCCGGUGUGUGAAGAAGGCCUUCGGGUUGUAAAGCACUUUUAUCGGGAGCGAAAAGCGCAGGGUUAAAUAACACCAUGCGUCCAUGACGGUACCCUGAUCGAAUUAAGCCACCGGUUAAACUUACGUGCCAGANCGGCGGGUAAUACCGAACGGGGCGCAAAGCGGUCAUCGGGAUUUCACUGGGCGUAAAAAGCGUGGCGAAAAGGGUCGGGACCAAAGAAAAAUCCCCGNCAUGGUCGAAAGGCCAUCGGGGUUCCACAACCCUACAGGGGAACUCGGGAUCAGNGGNCAUCCCCUAGCAACACGGGUAGGA
rnacentral:rRNA from 1 species